rnacentral:lncRNA from 1 species
AGAGAAAAUGCACAUAAGGAGCCUGGGCAGGCCCGCCUUCAUGUGAAAGGCUGGAGAAAGCUUGGAGAUAACAACACAGAGCUGUAAUGGAUUUCCUGGGUUUUUCCACUCCAGGAAGUCUCAAAGAAACUCAGAGAUGGUGAACAGCAUCUGCAACCUACCCUGGAGGGAGGUCAAAGAAAUGUCUCAGAAAUGUCUGGCACAGGGACAACACAUCAGUUAGCACGGUGAGUACAGAAAUGUCAGGGUAGAUCCA